rnacentral:lncRNA from 1 species
CCUGUGAUGCUGGUUCCAGUAGCCAAAAUGAAUCCCGGCUCCAUGGAUGGCGCCCCGCGCUACCCUGGGCGCAGGCGAUGGGAAACUAUUUUUCCCCGACACGAAAAUGGGCAUAACUCUCUCAUACGAUGUCCAAAUUGGAUGAUUAUUUUUGCUAUGGCUCCGAAAUUUCGAUACGGAUCUAAUGCUUUAAUAAAACUGAAUUUGGAGCUCAUUUUCUAAUAUGAUACCACUUAUUCUUGAAGAAGGACAUCAAAAAUUCUUGAAAUACCCAAGUUAAACUCCAAUAACCAUCCAAACUCCACCCGAGGCCCUCGGGACCUCAACCAAAUAUAUAAAAAUGUCCUAAAAUAUCAUGCGAACUUACUCAGAGUUUCAAAUAAUACCAAGCAAUGUCGAAACUACACAAUUCACACAUCAAUUCGGACUUAUGAGUUUCAAACUUUUCCAUUUACAAAACGCGUGCCGUAACGUAUAAAAUGAAUCCGGAAUGACUUCAAAUUUUGCACACAAGUCAUUAAUGACAUAAUGGAGCUACUGCAACUUCCGGAAUUUUAUUCCGACCUCUAUAUCAAAAUCUCACCUAUCAACCGGAAAACACCGAAAUCUCCAUUUCGCCAAUUCAAGCCUAAACCUUCCACGGACCUUCAAAAUGCAUUCCGAUCAUGCUCCUAUGUCCCAAAUCACCUAACGGAGCUAACCAAAUCAUAAAAAUUUUGAUUCGAGAUCAUAUACAAACAAGUCAAAUCUUGGUCAAACCUUUCAAACUUCAAGCUUCAACUGAGAACUGUUUUCUUCCAAAUUCGCUCUGAUUACCCUGAAAACCAAAACCAAUGGUUUACAUAAGUCAUAAUACAUCACACAGGGCAAGUCAUGCCCGAGAAUUGGCGAUCAAAGUGCAAAAGCUCAAAAUGACCGGUCGGGUCGUUAUAGAUGACCACGCGAUAAUGUCACGUAUAAUCCCUCAUUGAGGAGUGAUUACCGGACAUUGUGUGGGGUGGUCCAUAUUUUUUAAUAAACCUAGGACCCCCUUUUAUUUAUUCUUUAUUCUUUUAGAAAUUUAACUCCUUAUUCUAAAAAAAUUAGCUUUUCUAAUUGUUCUUUCAAAACUUGUUUACUUUAAAACCAUUAUGUGUUGAAAUCCCCUAUUAUUUGAGCCUUAUUUGCUUAUAUGUUAAUUGCACCUCAAUUCACAAUAAUUGUCUGGCCGCGAAUCACACUAGUGUAUUCUGAGGAGUGCCUAACAUCUUCCCCUUAGAAUAAUUUCAAGCUCUUACCCUAUCUCUGAUUAUUCAAAUCGAACUCUUUUGGUGUCCUAAUGCACCCUAAUCAUUAGGUGGUGACUCUCCAAAUUCAAACCCAGUUCCCAAAAGGAAUGAGUUGUCUCUCCAAAUGUUAUAAACCCGAUUUCUGCUUAGGAAAAAAAAGGGGCGCGACACUCACACCCAGAUUUCAUAGCCAAGACAGAGUAAGUGCAGUGUAGAAAGGCCAGCUUUCAUGUGUCCAAGUUCAGAGGGAACUCAAAGGUCCCAAGGCAAGUCACACAAAAAAGAGGCAGAACCUAGUGUUCUAAAGGUAUAGUAAAAGUGCAGGACACAUGUUUGAAAGGAUUUUGUUUAAAAACUAGACUGACAUGUCCAUUUUGAAAGCAAUCAAUAACAGAAAUGGUUGAAAGCAGUUGUAUUAGUAAGACAGAGUUCAAACACUUCAAGGUAAGACCACACACAGUAAGUGAAUGAAUUCAGUAAUCACACAUGGGGGUAAAAGGGGAUUUGGGGAUACUUAUAUAUUGACUACAUACACCUGACCUCAGCAGGAAUAUUAGGACUGGUAGGGACAUGCUCAGAGAUAGUUGGAUACUACCAGUCAUGAAAAACAUAGAGAAGGGAUAGGGGAUUUGGGAUUCACAAAAUGGUAAGUGCACAGUAGGUAAAAGAAUACAAUCAUAUGGGCAUGCUUGAAUUACAUGAAUAUAAAGGGAGGGGAAUUAUAUCAGCAUGCUUAGAUACAAACUUCACAACAAGACCACAAGUAAACGCAGGCCAGAAAUAAAAGAAACUGAAGCAAGAAUAGAAACAUGUUAUUGUUCAGGCUUUAAACUAAACUAGAACAUACCAGUGAAGAUAGAGGUAAAUAAAAAUGAAGGAACCAAGGUUUACAGAUAAUUAGACAUAGCUUGCAGCCGGCCAAUAGUAGUAGAAUAACACCGAAUUUUUCUUUAAGUAAGAGAGGGGUUUUUGAAAGCGAAUUCUGGUGUCUUGUUAAUGAAAGACUUAGGGUAUUUAUAGCUUUGAAAGAUAGGUAGAAGUAAUCAAAAUUAGAAUCCAAUUAAUAUAAAUAUUCCCCUUUAAUCAAGGAAUUACAAAUUAAACGGAUACCAAUAGGGAUAAUUAAGGAAAGAAAAUCAGUUUGAGAAAGAUUGGUUUUUACCAAAUAAGGGGUAGUACAAGUAUAGAGCAUAUGAUUGAGUCUAAGUAUAGAAUAUAUUAAUUUGAGGAAAAGAUUCACCAAGAAUGAAGUACCACAACAAAUAAGGAAAUGGAAUCAAUCAACUUAAACAAACGAGUAAAAUUUUAGGGGUUUAUAAGAAAACCUUGCAAUCAAACCGUAAUUUAAGGAAAUCAGGAUCAAUCAAGAGGGAGUCAUGAUUCUGCACUUUGACAUAUAAAUAGAGAAGAAUGCACAGGCGUAUCAGACAUGCAAGGUCAGCCAUAUAGAUAAAAAGAAGAAAAAGAUGAACAAACUAGAUGAACACAAUCAAACAGAAGUGACACGAGUAGGCUAAGGACCAAAAAGAACCCACUCGAAGCAUGGUAAUCAACAGAAACUUAACAAAGUCAAGUAGUCAUGGAUAUACAUAGAACCAGAGUGAAGAAACCAAUCUAACACACAGCAAUAGGCGAAGAAGGUCAGGCCAACACAUAGAAACAAGUAAAGAAAACCUUUAAGACUCAUAGUAACAAGUGAAGAAAAUCUUUAAGAAAUUAGGGCUUUUGGCAGAGUUGAGUUAAAAGAGGUAAGAACUUAGAAUCGGUUAAGAUAAACAAAGAAAAGGGUCUAAUCAUAAAGAAAUCGAUCGAAUCAAAUAAACAAAGACAGUUCCAGAAUCCCGAAUAAAACCAAAAUAAUUAGGGUUUUCAACGUGAUGAAUCAGAUAGAAGAAAAACAUAAAUAAACCGUUUAAACAUAGUAAAAUCAUAUGAUAGUACUAAAAAUCAAAGGAGAAGUUAUAAAAAGAGGGGUUAAGAAACCCUAGUCUUGAAGACUAAAAUUCACUUUGAAAAAAUCGGGAAAAACCUAUGAGGAAAACACCAAAAGCCCAUGAUAUACACAGAUCUAAGACAAAUCUAAAAGAAAAUCGGAAAAUCUUUAGAUUUUAGGGUUUCAGAGAACCCAGAGAAGGUGAGAAAACAUUAAAAUGUUAUCGGUUUUAGCCGGAAGAGUCAUGGAUCUUACUCGAACGGCCAUGGAUGACCGGAAAAUAGCAUGAGAAACCAUGGGAGGCGAGUGAACCGCCUCUGGUUCAUUUGAAGGCCUCAAAACGAUGACACGCGUUCAAGAGGGAGCCAUAAGGCUGGUAGGUGUCGAGAACACCAUAGAUUCCGGUAGGGAGAUGGCCGGAGAAGGUGGAUAUGGUACAUUGGAGAGGAUGGGAGAAGAGAAGGUUCUAGAGAGAACCAGAGAUAAAGAGAGGGAGAUAAGAGGCCGGUUGAGAGAGAAUG